UUCAUUAAAUUGGAUUCGAGAGUAAUUGCAGAUCAGCAUUGUUGCGGUGAAUACGUUCCCGGGCCUUGUACACACCGCCCGUCACACCACGAAAGUCGGCAACACCCGAAGCCGGUGGCCCAACCCUUGGGAGGGAGCCGUCGAAGGUGGGGUCGGCGAUUGGGGUGAAGUCGUAACAAGGUAGCCGUACCGGCAAAGUGUGCAGGCUGGGUCACCUCCUAAUCUAGAUGCAUCGCAGU
rnacentral:rRNA from 1 species